UUCUUGAUGCGUGAGACAAGGUCGGACUUCGGUUGGCUCAUGCUAAGUGUUGCCAAUUCCGCCUUGCGGCUUAGAGCGUCCGCAACAACAUUGGCUUUCCCCGGUUUGUACUCUAGCCGAUAGUCGAAUUCCGCAAGGAAAUCUUGCCACCGUGCUUGCUUCGGACUCAACUUCUUUUGAGUUUGAAAGUAGCUUGUCGCCACGUUGUCCGUCAUGAUCGUGAAGUGUGAGCCAAGCAAGUAAUGUCGCCACACUCUUAGACAAUGGAUGAUGGCUGUCAUCUCCUUUUCUUGCACCGUGUAGCGGCGUUCCGUGUCAUUUAACUUUCACCAAUCCCGCUGGUGAGCGCUCACAUAAUGCCUCAGGUACAUCUCGAGGAGGCCAUUAAUGCGCUCGGUCUGCCCAUCCGUUUGUGGGUGGAAACUUGUCGAGAACUUGAGAUCGGUCCCCAACAUCUUAAAGAGCUCCGUCCAAAAUCGCCCAGUAAAUCGAGGGUCUCGGUCGCUCACAAUGCUCUUCGGAACUCCCCAAAGCUUCACAAUGUGCUUGACGAAUAGGCGGGCUGCCUCGUCCGCUUUGCAAUCAACGGGUGCGGCAAUGAAUAUGGCGUACUUGCUGUAUCGGUCGACAACGACCAUGAUGCUACCGCAACCUUCGGACUUGGGCAGCGAUGUGAUGAAGUCCAUGGAGACACUCUCCCAUGGCCUUGUUGCUAGUGGUAGCGGCUCUAACAAUCCCGCUGGAAGUUGAUGAUCUACCUUGUCUUGUUGGCACACAAGACAAGUGCACACAUAUGCCUCGAUGUUGUCCCUCAUGUGCGGCCAAAAAUACGAGGCUUGAACUAGUGCGGUGGUGCGCUCGAUUCCUGGGUGACCAGCCCACUUAGAGUCGUGGCACUCCUUGAUUACUUCCUUCCGCAAGUUUCCCCACCUUGGCACGAACAGCCGAUCUCCCUUGGUGAGGAGAAUGCCUUCCUCUUGCCAAAACCGCCUUGUCUUUCCUUCGAGCACCUUCUCCAGCAAAUCCUUUGCUAGCGGAUCUUGUUGGAGGCCUUCCUUGAUGCGUGAGACAAGGUCGGACUUCGGUUGGCUCAUGCUAAGUGUUGCCAAUUCCGCCUUGCGGCUUAGAGCGUCCGCAACAACAUUGGCUUUCCCCGGUUUGUACUCUAGCCGAUAGUCGAAUUCCGCAAGGAAAUCUUGCCACCGUGCUUGCUUCGGACUCAACUUCUUCUGAGUUUGAAAGUAGCUUGUCGCCACGUUAUCUGUCAUAAUCGUGAAGUGCGAGCCAAGCAAGUAAUGUCGCCACACCCGCAAGCAAUGUAUGAUUGCGGUCAUCUCCUUCUCUUGCACCGUGUAGCGGCGUUCCGUGUCAUUUAGCUUUCGACUCUCGAACGCUAUUGGGUGGCCUUCUUGCAUAAGGACUCCUCCUAUGGCGAAAUCCGAGGCAUCCGUUUGAACUUCAAAUGGCUUGGUGUGGUCCGGAAGAGCGAGGACUGGUUCCUCCAAAAUUGCCUUCUUCAACUCCUCGAAGGCGCGUUGGCACUCUUCGGACCAAUGCCAUGUUCUGUUUUUCUUGAGCAUAUCCGUCAAGGGUGCCGCCUUGGCUGAAUAGCCCUUAAUGAAGCGGCGGUAGUAAUUCACCAGCCCAAGGAAUGAGCGAAGCUCGGGUACUUUCGAGGGAGGCUCCCAAUCGAGGAUGGCCUUUACUUUGUCAUUCUCCAUCAUGAUCUUCCCGCCCGCAAUCUUGUGGCCAAGGAACUCCACCUCUUGUUGGGAAAACGAGCACUUCUCUAGUUUGAGGAAGAGCUCAUUGUCUCGAAGUACUUGGAGGACUUGUUGCAAGUGUUGGGCAUGAUCCUCGAGUGUGGUACUAUACAC
rnacentral:lncRNA from 1 species